GUCUACGGCCAUGCCACCCUGAACAAGCCCGAUCCUGUCUGAUCUCAGAAGGGUCAGCCUGGUUAGUACUUGGAUGGAAGACCACGUAGGAAGAUCAGGUGCUGCAGGAA
rnacentral:rRNA from 1 species